CAGAUAGAAUUAUUCUCUCUCCUCUGAAGUCGGACCCCCCAUCAUCUCCAGCACCCAGACCCAGCACGCCCUCCACGGCGAGAAGGGCCAGAUCAAGUGCUUCAUCCGGAGCACACCGCCGCCGGACCGCAUCGCCUGGUCCUGGAAGGAGAAUGUUCUGGAGUCGGGGACAUCGGGGCGCUAUACGGUGGAGACCAUCAGCACCGAGGAGGGCGUCAUCUCCACCCUGAGCAUCAGCAACAUCGUGCGGGCCGACUUCCAGACCAUCUACAACUGCACGGCCUGGAACAGCUUCGGCUCCGACACCGAGAUCAUCCGGCUCAAGGAGCAAGAGUCUGUGCCGAUGGCCGUCAUCAUUGGGGUGGCCGUAGGAGCUGGCGUGGCCUUCCUCGUCCUUAUGGCAACCAUCGUGGCCUUCUGCUGUGCCCGUUCCCAGAGAAAUCUCAAAGGUGUCGUGUCAGCCAAAAAUGAUAUCCGAGUGGAAAUUGUCCACAAGGAACCGGCCACUGGUCGGGAGGCUGAGGAGCACUCCACCAUCAAGCAGCUGAUG
rnacentral:sRNA from 1 species